AGCUUGCCAUGGUGGCGGAGAGCGUCCACACAGGCCCCGUGCAGCGUGCGUGAGGCCGGUCCCGGGCCUGCCAGGGUGCUGGGUGGAGCGUAGCAGGAGGGCGUGGGAAGCAAGGUGGGAGAAGAGUGGGGGGUCCUCGGGCCGCG